rnacentral:rRNA from 1 species
GACGAACGCUGGCGGCGUGCUUAACACAUGCAAGUCGAGCGGUAAGGCCCUUUCGGGGGUACACGAGCGGCGAACGGGUGAGUAACACGUGGGUGACCUGCCCUCAGCUCUGGGAUAAGCCUGGGAAACUGGGUCUAAUACUGGAUAUGACUCCACGGUGCAUGUCGUGGGGUGGAAAGCCUUGUGCGGCUGAGGAUGGGCCCGCGGCCUAUCAGCUUGUUGGUGGGGUGAUGGCCUACCAAGGCGACGACGGGUAGCCGGCCUGAGAGGGCGACCGGCCACACUGGGACUGAGACACGGCCCAGACUCCUACGGGAGGCAGCAGUGGGAAUCUUGCGCAAUGGGCGAAAGCCUGACGCAGCGACGCCGCGUGAGGGAUGACGGCCU